CCUACGGGAGGCUGCAGUGAGGAAUAUUGGUCAAUGGACGAGAGUCUGAACCAGCCAAGUAGCGUGAAGGAUGACUGCCCUAUGGGUUGUAAACUUCUUUUAUAUGGGAAUAAAAUGUUCCACGUGUGGGAUUUUGUAUGUACCAUAUGAAUAAGGCUCGGCUAACUCCGUGCCAGCAGCCGCGGUAAUACGGAGGAUCCGAGCGUUAUCCGGAUUUAUUGGGUUUAAAGGGAGCGUAGGUGGAUUGUUAAGUCAGUUGUGAAAGUUUGCGGCUCAACCGUAAAAUUGCAGUUGAAACUGGCAGUCUUGAGUACAGUAGAGGUGGGCGGAAUUCGUGGUGUAGCGGUGAAAUGCUUAGAUAUCACGAAGAACUCCGAUUGCGAAGGCAGUUCACUGGACUGCAACUGACACUGAGGCUCGAAAGUGUGGGUAUCAAACAGGAUUAGAUACCCGAGUAGUC
rnacentral:rRNA from 1 species